AUGAACGCGGCCGACCAUGCCGCCGGAACGGCCCGCCGUCGCAGCCCGCGCCUCCAUCCCCAGUUUCAGGCGAGUGAGGAGGGAGCCGGACUGGAUCUCCGGCGCAGCGCGUGCCUCCGUCCCCCGGUCCACGCCAGUGACGAGCGCGACGGAGUGACCCGCCGCCGCAGCCCGCGCCUACAUUCCCAGGUUCAGGCGCGUGAGCACGGAGCAGGAGUGGCUCGCCGGCCCGGCGCGCGCCUCGGUCCUCAAGGCCACGCGAGUGUGGAGGCAUCCGGAGUGACCCGCCGCAGUCGUCGUCGUGGCCGCCGCGGCCGCUCGCCGCUUGAGGACGAUGAUCUCCUGUGCGAGAUCCUCCUCCGCCUCCCGCCGCAGCCCUCCUCCCUUCCACGCGCCUCCGCCGUCUGCAAGCGGUGGCGACGCGCCGUCACCGACCCCAGGUUUCACCGCCGGUUCUGUCAACACCACUGGAAGCCGCCCCUCCUUGGUUUCUUCGAGCCCAGCGCAGAUGGUAUCGUGUUCACAUCCGUCCUGGAUCCUCCCAACCGCAUCCCUCCUCAGCGCUUCGACCUGCGACUCCACGGCAUUGACAGUGGCCGUGGCACGGGGGUCGAGCUGCUAGGGUGCCGCCACGGUCGCCUCCUCAUCAUGCAUUGGCAACGGGCAGAGCUUAUUGUAAUUGCUCCCUUCACCGGCAAGAAGCUCUGCCUGACCAUUCCGUCCAAGUUCAACGGGGGCUGCUACCUUGAUGGGGUGGUGCUCUGCGGCGUUGCUGACCAUGGCCACGUGCAUGGAAGCUGCCACUCAAGCCCAUUCAAGGUGGUCUUGCUGUCGACGAGCACCUACGAUAGUGGUCCACAGCCCGCCUUUGCAUGUGUUUUCUCCUCAAAGACUGGCAUAUGGAGCGAUCACAUCUCGACGCCGACUCCAUAUCAGCUUCAUGGCACUGAUAGUCACGGGUCACUUAUUGGUAACUCACUUUACUGGAUGUGCGACGAUUACAUUUUUCAGUUUGAUUUGGAUGGUCAAAGCCUAGCUUUGAUCAGAGCGCCUCCCAGAAUAAAUGAUGUCCGCCACAGGUAUGACCAACGUGAGAUCAUCCAGGUGGUGGAUGGCAUUAUUGGUGUCGCCAUACUGUCUCACUAUUACCAUAACAUCCAAAUAUGGCAAAGGGAGGUCAAUUGCCAGGGUGUUACCAAAUGGGUGCUAUGGAAGACCAUUGAUAUGCAUGACAUUCAUGGGAUCCCUCAUGGGAAUGAAGGAGAGAGGCCAAAGUUGAUAUUCAGACUGAGAUAUGCUGAGGAUACCGAUGAUAUAUUUAUAUAUGUCGGCAGGAGUAUCUAUAUGGUUCAACUUAAGUCGAUGCAAUCUAUGAAACUUUGUGAAACCGGUUAUAUUAUGUGCCAACAUUCUUUAAAGAGUUUCUAUAUGCCAGGCGCAGCCAUUGCUUCUGGACGUGAUGGAGCUGAAAUGUUGCAUGAGACAUAG
rnacentral:rRNA from 1 species